UUCGCUCAGGAAUUUUUUUCGGAGAUACCCAACAAUAAUACAUAGGGGGCUAUUUCGCCUAUCCUACCUGGGGAUACCCUUUACCUAAUAUGCAUUUUAAUAAAAUAUUAGAAGCUCUAUGGGUACCUACCUACCUACCUACUAAUCAUGUGAAUAAUACCGGUACGCUACUACUAACUAUUGAGAUACAUAUUUUCAAUCUCAACAAAAUAUUGCGUUUUGUGCGAAUUUCAUAAUUCGCGUGUAGUUUAUAGCACCUUUUUCGCACAUUUUUAAUUAUCAAAAAAACACCUUUUACGAUACGAAACUUUAUUGAAAAUAAUUCUAAAAUUAAUACAUUAGCGUGAGACGCGUUUCGGUCUGCUCGGAGACCAUUUUCAAUCACGAAUGAGAGGAUUACGUAACAUGUAGAAGAUAAAUAGGAAGAGAUGCGUCGUACAAACAGAAGAGGGGAGAUAAAAAGUAUACACGAGUCAAAAAUUGCGUCGUAAAUUUAUGAUACAGGUAGGGGGUGAUUCAGAAUAGGUAGAAGUGAAUCGAUAGCACUGUUAGGUGUAACAUCGUUGACCAAGUGGAACUGUGUGGCAAUCUCGUGACGUUUUAUUUCAAUCAGCUCCAGGGUAUUGAGGCGACGACCCUUUUCGGCAAUAUGUAGAAUUUUUAAUCCUGAGUCAGGUAAAAAAUUGUGGCCAGAAUUUAUGAGAUGAUCAGCAAAAUUACUUUUUCCCAGAUGUUUAUGUUUCCAAGCUGCUAAGUGUUCAUUUAGCCUUAUUUUGAAGCUUCUCCCUGUUUGGCCAAUAUAGGUAGCUGAGCAAUUAUUGCAGGAUAGUCUGUAAACGCCACUUUUAUCCAUUUUGGGGAUUUUAUCCUUGGCAUUACAAAAUAACGAUCCCAGGGAAUUUGUUGAAGAGUAGGCAACCUGAAUAUCGUCGUCAGCAUUAUUUUCAAUAAAGUUUCGUAUCGUAAAAGGUGUUUUUUUGAUAACGAAUUUCAUACAUUCAAAUUUUAACGAUUUAGAGCAGCUAAAAUACAGCUGUUUCGUAAGUUUUUUUUAGCAUACCUACAUGAUAUAAAUUAUGUACGAAUGAUAGACACGAAAAAAAAAAAAUUGUACUGCAUGACGCUGACGCAGGUCCUAAAACAGGAACGAAUCGUACGACGCAUUGACAAAAUAUGUAAAAAAAAACUGCCCGUGCAUAUGUACCGGUACGUCUGGUGUUUACCCAGGUUUUCCAAGAUUUUUUUAAAAAUAUCAUGAUUCAUUGUCAAGUACAUAUAAGGUGACAUGAGUUAUGAGUUUUUGCUACUAUAUAACAACUAGAUUCUGUAGUGUUUUUCACAGUUGUCUUCUCGUCUCUAUAGUUCGCUAGUUCACUGUAACUCCUGUUGCUAUCAGUUUUUCCAAGUACUGCAUAGGUAAUAUUUGACCCACGUUAAGGCUCAUCAAAUAAUUGUUCAACUGUUAUCAUGUCCAGGUUCAGUAGCGUUUUAAUAAUAUGUGUAAUCGUUUGCUCUAUGAUGGUACGCAUACAUGCUGAGUUGAGCAUGACUUCAGUAGAAUACGACGAGAACCAAGGACACUUCGUUUGUUUCAAUUUUGGUAAGAUAGAUGCCCUUUGUGCAAACAAAAUCGACGGCGCCGAGAAAGGCAAAUGUGAAUUCCAACCCGUGGACUUUACAGAUAAAAUAGUAAGAAAACAAGUGGUAGCUUGCAGAAAUCAACUUGGCACAGUUCUGGGAUGCCUUUAUCAGUAUGCUAGUUCCUGUAAGGUGGCGGAUUAUCAAGAUGGUACAUGUGUAUAAAAAACUUUCGCGAAUCACGUUGUGAUAGUUUCUUUUCAGAUAAAAUAGGUAACUUAUUUAUAGCUGUUACUAAUUUAUUAAUGAACGUGGAACUAUAUAUCAUAUAAGUGACCUAAAAUUUAGAUUUAUAUAAUUUAUUCAAUUUUUAGAGGUUUAAACCCCUCUUCACCUGUGUUUUCUGAAUGUUACUCAAGUAACAGAUUGAAUAAAUUAAUGAUAUUACUACUACUACUAUUUAUCUUUUAUGCAACCAUAUUAAUUUUAUUAUUUAAAUAAUAUACUUUAUUCGCAUAUUCCAA